rnacentral:piRNA from 1 species
UCGCCUGUUUUCUCUUCCCCAAGAUCCC